AAUAUUGGACAAUGGGCGAAAGCCUGAUCCAGCCUUGCCGCGUGUGUGAAACAUGUCUUCGGUUUUUAAAGCACUUUAUGUUGGGAGGAAUGGCAGUAAGUUAAUACCUGUCUGUUUGGACGUUACCGACAGUUUAAGCACCGGCUAACUUCGUGCCUUCAGCUGCGGUAAUACGAAUUGUGCAAGCGUUAAUAAGAAUUACUGGGCUUAAAGCGUGCGUAGGUGGUUUGUUAAGAUGGAAGUGAAAGCCCCGGGCUCAACCUGGGAACUGCUUUCAAAACUGGCAAGCUAGAGUAUGGCAGAAGGUGGUGGAAUUUCCUGUGUAGCGGUGAAAUGCGUAGAUAUAGGAAGGAACACCAGUGGCGAAGGCGACCACCUGGGCUAAUACUGACACUGAGGUGCGAAAGCGUGGGGAGCAAACA
rnacentral:rRNA from 1 species